AGAUUGAACGCUGGCGGCAUGCUUUACACAUGCAAGUCGAACGGGCGUGUUGGGGCAACCUGGCAGUCAGUGGCGGACGGGUGAGUAAUGCAUCGGAACGUGUCCCGUAGUGGGGGAUAACCCGGCGAAAGCCGGACUAAUACCGCAUAUGCUCUACGGAGGAAAGCGGGGGACCUG
rnacentral:rRNA from 1 species